AGAAGAGCUGGACAAAUACAGGUCUCAGCAGAUUGAAGAGAGCACCACAGUGGUCACCAUGCAGUCCGCUGAGGUUGGAGCUGUUGAGAUGAUGCU
rnacentral:miRNA from 10 species